UACGUAGGGGGCGAGCGUUGUCCGGAAUUACUGGGUGUAAAGCGCGUGUAGGCGGCAGGCCAAGUCGGUGGUGAAAGCGCCCGGCUCAACUGGGCGAGGUCCAUGGAAACUGGUCAGCUGGAGGACGGUAGAGGCGAGUGGAAUUCCCGGUGUAGUGGUGAAAUGCGUAGAGAUCGGGAGGAACACCUGUGGCGAAGGCGGCUCGCUGGGCCGGUCCUGACGCUGAAACGCGAAGGCGUGGGGAGCGAACGGG
rnacentral:rRNA from 1 species